rnacentral:rRNA from 1 species
UACGGGGGGGGCUAGCGUUGUUCGGAAUUACUGGGCGUAAAGAGCGUGUAGGCGGCCAGACAGGUCCGUUGUGAAAACUCGAGGCUCAACCUCGAGACGCCGAUGGAAACCGUAUGGCUAGAGUCCGGAAGAGGAGAGUGGAAUUCCUGGUGUAGCGGUGAAAUGCGCAGAUAUCAGGAAGAACACCCGUGGCUAAGGCGGCUCUCUAGUACGGUACUGACGCUGAGACGCGAAAGCGUGGGGAGCGAACAGG